rnacentral:rRNA from 1 species
GAUGAACGCUGGCGGCGUGCCUAAUACAUGCAAGUCGAGCGAACGGACGAGAAGCUUGCUUUUCUGAUGUUAGCGGCGGACGGGUGAGUAACACGUGGAUAACCUACCUAUAAGACUGGGAUAACUUCGGGAAACCGGAGCUAAUACCGGAUAAUAUUUUGAACCGCAUGGUUCAAAAGUGAAAGACGGUCUUGCUGUCACUUAUUGAUGGAUCCGCGCUGCAUUAGCUAGUUGGUAAGGUAACGGCUUACCAAGGCAACGAUGCAUAGCCGACCUGAGAGGGUGAUCGGCCACACUGGAACUGAGACACGGUCCAGACUCCUACGGGAGGCAGCAGUAGGGAAUCUUCCGCAAUGGGCGAAAGCCUGACGGAGCAACGCCGCGUGAGUGAUGAAGGUCUUCGGAUCGUAAAACUCUGUUAUUAGGGAAGAACAUAUGUGUAAGUAACUGUGCACAUCUUGACGGUACCUAAUCAGAAAGCCACGGCUAACUACGUG